GUUGUCAUAGAUGAGAGUGAGACGCUCUGUAUGGAACAUGCAAUGUUAUUGCUUAUAUUUUGGUGAAUGAAGUCACCUGUGAUUGAUGAAUCUUGUUAUGAUUUGUGGAACCGAUCAUGUAUUCAGAAUGUUUUUCCCUUGGUGGCGCACAUUUCUAUUUGAUAUGCUUAGAUGAGUAAGCAAUAGGAUGUGAUACCGAUGAUUCGUGCCUCAAUUAGGUUUGAGCCCCAACCACGGUGGACGUGGGGGAAAG
rnacentral:lncRNA from 1 species